rnacentral:rRNA from 1 species
CGGAGGGUGCGAGCGUUAUCCGGAAUUACUGGGUUUAAAGGGUGCGUAGGCGGCCAUGUAAGUCAGGAGUGAAAGUUUGCGGCUCAACCGUAAAAUUGCUUUUGAUACUGCAUGGCUGGAAUCAGGAUGAGGUCAGCGGAAUGUGGCAUGUAGCGGUGAAAUGCAUAGAUAUGCCAUAGAACACCAAUUGCGAAGGCAGCUGGCUAGACCUGUAUUGACGCUGAGGCACGAAAGCGUGGGGAGCGAACAGGAUUAGAUACCCUGGUAGUCCACGCCCUAAACGAUGCUUACCUCGACGUAUGAAGCUAGUCUUUGUGCGUCCAAAGGGAACCGUUAAGUAAGCCACCGUGGGGAGUACGGCCGCAAGGUUG